rnacentral:rRNA from 1 species
CCUACGGGAGGCAGCAGUCGGGAAUUUUGGGCAAUGGGCGAAAGCCUGACCCAGCAACGCCGCGUGAAGGAUGAAAUCCCUCGGGAUGUAAACUUCGCAAGAACGGGAAGAAUAAGUAGGGGACAAUACCCCCUAUGAUGACGGUACCGUUUGUAAGCUCCGGCUAACUCCGUGCCAGCAGCCGCGGUAAUACGGGGGGAGCAAGCGUUGUUCGGAUUUACUGGGCGUAAAGGGCGCGUAGGCGGUCAGCACAAGUCAGUUGUGAAAUCUCCGAGCUUAACUCGGAAAGGUCAACUGAUACUGUGCGACUAGAGUGCAGAAGGGGCAACUGGAAUUCUCGGUGUAGCGGUGAAAUGCGUAGAUAUCGAGAGGAGCACCUGCGGCGAAGGCGGGUUGCUGGGCUGACACUGACGCUGAGGCGCGAAAGCUAGGGGAGCGAACGGGAUUAGAUACCCCGGUAGUCCUAGCCUUAAACGAUGAAUGCUUGGUGUCUGGGGUUAUAUAGUCCCCGGGUGCCGUCGCUAACGCUUUAAGCAUUCCGCCUGGGGAGUACGGUCGCAAGACUGAAACUCAAAGGAAUUGACGG